rnacentral:misc_RNA from 1 species
UUUCUAAUCUGAGGCUCAAAACCCAUAUCAAGCAUCCUAUCUGCCUCAUCAAGUGCCAAGUAUCUAAUCAUCUGCAGUGACACUCUAGCCCUUUCAAGCAAAUCCACCAGACGUCCAGGAGUUGCCACAAGAAUAUCAACCCCUCUUUCAAGUUCUCGCAACUGUUGGUUUAUUGGUGCUCCUCCAUAAGCAACUACCACCUUAACACCAGUUUGAUAAGAAAAUUUUCUGGCUUCAUCGUGUAUCUGACAAGAGAGCUCCCUUGUAGGGGAGAGGAUAAGAGCAAGUGGGUAUACAGUCCUUGGCCCACGUGAUCUCUGUACAUACUGCUCUCGCAUAAUUCCACUAAUGAUUGGAAAGCAGAAGGCAGCUGUCUUCCCUGACCCUGUCUGAGCACAAGCCAUCAAGUCACGCCCUGCAAGUAUUAUUGGGAUUGCAUUACGCUGAACUGGAGUCGGCUUCACAUACUUGCACCUCCGAAUAUUCUGAUUCAAUGCCUCACCCAAGUCUAUCUCUGCAAAGGUAUUCACAGGCGGCGGCACAUUGUCCCCACUUGUCUCCACAGGAAUAUCCUCAUAUGCAUCAAAGUUAAUGCCUGUAUUUUCUUGUUCA